rnacentral:rRNA from 1 species
CCCUUUAAUGUUUGAUGUUCUAACGUUGGCCCCUGACCGGGGUUGCGGACAGUGUCUGGUGGGUAGUUUGACUGGGGCGGUCUCCUCCCAAAGCGUAACGGAGGAGCACGAAGGUUAGCUAAUCCUGGUCGGACAUCAGGAGGUUAGUGCAAUGGCAUAAGCUAGCUUGACUGCGAGCGUGACGGCGCGAGCAGGUGCGAAAGCAGGUCAUAGUGAUCCGGUGGUUCUGAAUGGAAGGGCCAUCGCUCAACGGAUAAAAGGUACUCCGGGGAUAACAGGCUGAUACCGCCCAAG